GACGAACGCUGGCGGCGCGCCUAACACAUGCAAGUCGAACGAGCGAGAGAGCUUGCUUUCUCAAGCGAGUGGCGAACGGGUGAGUAACGCGUGAGGAACCUGCCUCAAAGAGGGGGACAACAGUUGGAAACGACUGCUAAUACCGCAUAAGCCCACGACCCGGCAUCGGGUUGAGGGAAAAGGAGCAAUCCGCUUUGAGAUGGCCUCGCGUCCGAUUAGCUAGUUGGUGAGGUAACGGCCCACCAAGGCAAUGAUGGGUAGCCGGCCUGAGAGGGUGAACGGCCACAAGGGGACUGAGACACGGCCCUU
rnacentral:rRNA from 1 species